UUUUUGCUGGUGCUUAUCACAGAUUGUGUUCAUACACUGAAUACAUAGAGAAAGGAGGCAAAGUAAACCCACCUCAUACACAC
rnacentral:snoRNA from 1 species